rnacentral:lncRNA from 1 species
GACCAGAUCGAAACUACUCAGACUGAGGUUGAGUCUGAAUCAGUGCACUCGUGGAGUGCUGUCCGGUAAGUUGCCGAGACUUAUCGUGAACGAAAGAGGAAUUGAGGUCGAUCCUGCUAAAAAAAAAGAGAAAAGAGAAAAAAAAAGGAAAAAAAGAAGAAGAAAAAGCAAUACAAAGAAAUGCCUGAACCGAAAAGAAAGAAAGCAAACGGUCAGGUGGAUAAUGAUUGCCAAGGGGCACAGAUAAAAGAA